AACGAACGCUGGCGGCAUGCCUAACACAUGCAAGUCGAACGAGACCUUCGGGUCUAGUGGCGCACGGGUGCGUAACGCGUGGGAAUCUGCCCUAGGGUGCGGAAUAACUCGGAGAAAUCCGUGCUGAUACCGCAUAAUGUCUUCGGACCAAAGAUUUAUCGCCCUGGGAUGAGCCCGCGUUGGAUUAGCUAGUUGGUGGGGUGAAAGCCUACCAAGGCGACGAUCCAUAGCUGGUCUGAGAGGAUGAUCAGCCACACUGGGACUGAGACACGGCCCAGACUCCUACGGGAGGCAGCAGUGGGGAAUAUUGGACAAUGGGCGAAAGCCUGAUCCAGCAAUGCCGCGUGCAGGAAGAAUGCCCUAUGGGUUGUAAACUGCUUUUAGGUCUGGGAAGAAAAGUCGGGAUUUAAUCCUGAUCUGACGGUACCAGAGGAAUAAGCACCGGCUAACUCCGCGCCAGCAGCCGCGGUAAUGUCUAGCA
rnacentral:rRNA from 1 species